rnacentral:rRNA from 1 species
UACGAAGGGGGCUAGCGUUGUUCGGAAUUACUGGGCGUAAAGCGCGCGCAGGCGGCUAUCCAAGUCAGUGGUGAAAGCCCGGAGCUCAACUCCGGAACUGCCAUUGAAACUGUUUAGCUUGAGGAUGAGAGAGGUGAGUGGAAUUCCCAGUGUAGAGGUGAAAUUCGUAGAUAUUGGGAAGAACACCGGUGGCGAAGGCGGCUAUCUGGACCGUAACUGACGCUGAGGCGCGAAAGCGUGGGGAGCAAACAGG